rfam:Synechococcus sp. JA-2-3B'a(2-13), complete genome.
GCGGGCGUAGUUUAAUGGUAAAACCGCAGUCUUCCAAACUGCUGUUGUCGGUUCGAUUCCGUCCGCCCGCU